CAAGGGAUUUUCCGCAAUGGGGGCAACCCUGACGGAGCAACGCCGCGUGCGGGACGACGCCUCUUGGGGUGUAAACCGCUUUUGCCGAGGACGAGAACGGACGGUACUCGGCGAAUAAGGACCGGCUAACUACGUGCCAGCAGCCGCGGUAAUACGUAGGGUCCGAGCGUUGUCCGGAGUUACUGGGCGUAAAGCGCGCGCAGGCGGCCCCUCAGGCACGACGUGAAAGCCCCGGGCUCAACCCGGGAGGGUCGUCGUGAACCGUGGGGCUUGAGGCCGGUAGAGGUGGGUGGAACUCCUGGUGGAGUGGUGAAAUGCGUAGAGAUCAGGAAGAACACCCGUGGCGAAGGCGGCCCACUGGGCCGGUGCUGACGCUGAGGCGCGAAGGCGUGGGGAGCGAACGG
rnacentral:rRNA from 1 species